UUUAGUUUAGUGGCGGACGGGUGAGUAACGCGUGGGUAACCUGCCCUAUACAGGGGGAUAACAGUUGGAAACGACUGUUAAUACCGCAUAAGCGCACAGGAGCGCAUGCUCCGGUGUGAAAAACUCCGGUGGUAUAGGAUGGACCCGCGUCUGAUUAGCUGGUUGGCGGGGUAACGGCCCACCAAGGCGACGAUCAGUAGCCGGACUGAGAGGUUGGCCGGCCACAUUGGGACUGAGACACGGCCCAGACUCCUACGGAAGGCAGCAG
rnacentral:rRNA from 1 species